rnacentral:misc_RNA from 1 species
CGCAAUCAUGCGGCGCAGUGAUGCAAGGCGCCGAGAUUCAUCUCCGGGAAUCUAUCUUCCCCCGAACAUCCCGUGGGUGCCCCGUCGUCCGAUGGAACAACGACGGAGUCGAGAAGACAGCGCGAGGUUUGUGUAGUUCGCGAGUCGUCAUCGGCGGGAGUAUCGUCAGGAACGCGGCGGUGGUCCUGCGGGAGGUUGUGCGCGCGGCGGUGAAGGGAUAAAGAGAGAAAAAGGGAGCCGGAGUUCCAGAGAGAGAGGUAGCGAGAUUUUUCCCCACCGCUUGAAAAACCAACCCCCCACCAGCUGGGUACCGUGGGGGCAGGCGGCGGUGGCGGCGGUGUGGAAGAGACGCGCGGCGGGCUGCGGGGGCGACGAAAAGAGGGGGCGAGGAGGGUUACCCAGGGUGGUCUCGGUGGUGGCUGGGGGCGGCAGCCUCAAAAAUACACCGCAACCACACCGCGCGGCUCCACCGCAGAAGCCGCCAUCUUCCACCGCCGAACCGAAACGAGACCGCGCGAGUUAAACACCCUAUCCUACUUCCUCCGAGUAGAAGCUGCCCUGCCACCCGCUGAAGCAACGGCCAGGUGAAGAAUCACCAUCGCCGCGACUGCAACCAACUCUGACGGCGAAGGACACUUGGGAUAACCCGCGAUCCUCGACGCGGAAAAAUCUCCGAUCGGUGAUAGUGUGCGCGAAUCAAGAUAUAUCUCGCGGAUAUAUCUCGUGAUCGUUGCUUCGAUUGUUGCAAGUUGAAAUCUCAACGUCAGUGUUUACGAAUUUUAAUGCGUUAUUUGGUAUGUACAUAUAGAUAAUACGUUUUCGGUAAUUGAUCAAGAUUUCGAUCGACGAGAGAGAUACACGUGCGCGGCCCUCGCCAAAGUUCGGCGAAACUUGGCGCGGUGAGCGCCGCGUACGGAAACAUAUGGUUUAUUUGAAAAAGCCCUUCGCUUCUGGUAUAUAAUUUCAGUGAAAAUAUAAAAAAAAAAAGAAAGUGUGUGAAUGUGAUGUUAUCAAUUAUGAGGAUCGCCGGUGCGAAACAGUGUUUUAGACACGCGCGUUAAGAAAGGCAUAUCUCUAUAGAUCUGCUUGCGAAACUGACUUUUAACUCAACGAUCGGAUUUAAGUGUUUCGAACAGUCGCGAGUGUUCCACAUUGUCUUCGAUAAAGAAGACGACGGGCUCGAUCAAAGAAUACGUAGAAACAAGGGUCGUCAAGAUUGCCGACGAUUCCAAUAAAACGAAUUUUCUCCGCGAGUUGGCAAUCGAGACGGAGAAUUUGCAAACGGAUGCCCCAUGCCUGCACCCCGCGGUAGGAUAAUGAAAUAAGGAUCAAAGAAGUCUAGGGGCCCGCGAGGGCCGAGAAAGCCGCCGAAAAGUCGCGUGCCUCUCGAUUCCGAAGGAAACAAAUCCGAUUCUCGCCGGAAGCAGAUAUCGGCAUUCGUAAUGUGUUCCUCACUAUUGGCGAAACCAAUUUAUGCUUGUAACGUUCUUAGAUUGUUAUCAAGUGGACUCAAUAUAUUGACCGAUCUUGAAUGUCAAAUAUAACAAUCAAUUGUUAUCGACGAAACUUCAGUUUGCGGAAUAAGAGAUUGUAACUUACUUAAUAAAGUAUAUAUAUCACGAACACAGACGUAUCAUCAAAGGACCAAGCAUCAUAUCGAAAUUGAUCAUAAGGAUCGAUCCCCUCGUCACGGAUCACGUGUACAUAUACUUCGUUUAGAAUUCGGAAAAGUAAAACGUAAACAAUUGAGCAGCCGAAUUCAUUCGAAAAGCUCGUAGGGCAAGGUGACAUCUCAAUCAAGAGAACUAAUGAUAUCAUUCUCAUGACGAAUCCUUCGCGAGAUGCUCGACCCGAGGAUCGGCCUCCUGGCCUAGAUUAUCCUGAUCCCAGAUCAGUGCGUGGCAGUCAUCAGGUGCAUCAAGCAGUGAAUCAAAUCAACGGGCCCAGAAUACGGAGGACCCGGGCCUCGUCCUCGAGGAGAAGAAUGCACUUGGCCAACGAGGUUCCUCCUCAAGGUUCGGCCGGCGGAAAUCAUCUUUCCGAUUAUGCUCUCACCGCCGAUCUGCUUGCCGAGAGGACACUGGAUGGACUUCUCGCCGAGCAUCCUGGAGAACUUGUUCGUACAGGUUGCCCACAUGUGGUAUGCACAGUAUUACCAUCACAUUGGAGGUCGAACAAGACUCUUCCGGUAGCCUUCAAGGUAGUAGCCCUCGGCGAGGUUGGAGAUGGAACCCUCGUGACCGUUCGGGCCGGAAACGAUGAGAAUUGUUGCGCGGAACUACGAAAUUCUACUGCUCUAAUGAAAAACCAGGUCGCCAAAUUUAAUGAUCUUAGGUUCGUCGGUCGAAGUGGUAGAGGAAAAAGUUUCACCCUGACGAUCAUGCUGCAAACAUCACCGCCGCAAGUGGCCACCUUGUCGAAGGCGAUCAAGGUGACUGUGGACGGUCCAAGGGAACCGCGGUCGAAGACAAGACACCAGGCCUUUCAUCCCUUUCACUUCGGACCUCGUCCAUUCCCCUUCGGACACCCGCAGGACCCGUUGGGAUUCAAACUGUCGGGAUUGCAACACCUGGGUCUGGAGCAAGGAGCGGGCCAGGGAUGGGGUGGGUUACCCCGAGGAUCUCUACCGCCGCACUGUCUUCCACCGCCUCCUGGUCAUCACCCGCACACACAUCCACAACCGGUUGGUGCAUCAGCCUUCAAUCCUUUCCAUCACGCCAUCGAGCAGAGAUCCCCGAGGCUACCUGGGCCUAACGCCGAAUCUUCGAGGAAUGACUUGGGUCCUAUCAGUGUGUCUGUGAGGGAAGUAACGCCGACAACGUCACCCGGCAACCCCGGACCGGGCUUGUUGACGACGGCUUCCGUAACGGCACCGACACCUCCCGCCGAGUCGACCACUACUACUACGACACCCAGCCCGUCUGGACAUCACUCACACUUUCAAGGUCUACAUCUGCUGGGUGCCACGGGAUCCAUCUUUGGAUCGAUAUUCGCGCCAUUGUUACCACAGUCUUCUUGGCUUUACAAUCCCCUAUAUCACACGCAACAGUACAUCCUGGAGCCGGAAUGGCACGCUUUGGCCUUGCGAAUGGCUCAACAACGAUUGCAGAGGCCGGAUCAGGCCCGAUUGGAGGAACUCAGGAAACUUAGGAGCAGCAGCGACAGUCCCGAGAGCAGUACGAAAGACGAAGAACGGAGAGGAGACGAUCAAGGCGCUUUACAUCGAUCCGGAUUGGAUAGUCCUGACGAUAGCAUCGAAGUGGAUGAUAAGAACGAUCAAGAUCUAAAUAGAGACCGCAUUAGAAGCGAUGAGUCAAUACCCGAGCAAGAUUCUCCAAGAAUCUCGCCGAUUAGGAGCGAUCUGGAGGAUGCUGCGUCUACAGAUGCCACCUUCCAAGAAGCAUCGAUUCAUCUACGACAAAGUAUAGAGAAUUUGAACGACUCGGAUCUCCAAAUCGAUCAGGAUCAGAUUGUUCGUCGCGGUGACCUCACUGUAAAAAUCCGUCUAGAGGGUACGGUCGAUCUUAGCACGAAGAAGGGUCAGGAUAAGGAAAACGUCGGUCAAGAUCUGACGACGCGAAGAAAGGAGGAUGGGAUAGAUGUCGAAAGAGAAGCCAUCAGAUCACGAAGAGAGAGAAGUCCUAAGCCUAGACAGGUGUGGAGACCUUAUUAAGAAUUAAAGUCAGUAUAUUUGUUCUGUGAGAGAAUCCUUCAAGCGUGAUGAUCUUAACGAAUUCGAUGAUCAAGAAGAAAACUUCAUUUCCGCUAAGAGUUCAGCGGACAUUGAUCAAUUCCAUCUCAAUAAUUCGAAACUAAACCCUAAAAGUGGAGCUUGCACGAUGUUGUACAAUAGUUUAGCAAUGCUAAGCGAUACAUCAUCAUCGUCAAGUUUUCGAGGGAUAAACGAAACACGCCCGUUGGAUGCUCGAACAUCUCGCGCAAUAUAACGCGGUUAAUCAUCUGCUUGAAAAUUAAUUAUCAAAACUUUCGGACGAACUUUUUUGUCAAAGUUAUUUAUCUAUUCGUAUGCCCGUUGCGGUAUCGUCUAAGAACAGUCAAGGACUCGAGGACUAACCAGGGUUUACGUUCGCAUAUAUAGUAUGUACAUAUAUACAAUGACGUCCGAUUAUUAUAUAAGUUAAUGUUUCAAGUAAACGUUAAGCACACUACCCUCUCGUCAUUCCGAUUAAGAAUACUUAAACUUUCUGAAUGUCUUAUGGACUACACGAAUAUGCUGUUGAAGCGCGCGCAACGCGCAUGUGUAUCUUAAUUCUGAAGAACGAAUUUCGUAAGUCAGGAUGUACGUUUUUCCAUGAUCUUUUAUUUAUUAUCUUCUUCGAACUAUAUUGUAACGUCGAUUUUAGGCAAGAAAAUACUCGUGUGACAGAUGACAUUUGGGAGGUUUCCUGGUACAAGCGAAAUUACGAGCUAUCUACGUUGUAAAUAUUAUCAUAUAGAAAAAUUUUAAUCCUGGCCGAGUCACAUUCUUUUGCAAAUUAUUAUCUCCUUUUUAUGAGGCAAUGUCAUUUUUUAGAAGCAGAGACAUCGAUAGUAAAAUGUCAUUACAUAAUUAUUGUUUACAUGAUUCAUGAAGUCGUCGAUGACGACGCUGUAUGUAUGCGUGACUACAGGCCUUAAUCAAAAUCAUUCAUUGUUUAAGUACGUCAUCAAAUAAAGUAAUAUCAUCCGUUC